rnacentral:rRNA from 1 species
GUGAGGAAUUUUCCGCAAUGGGCGAAAGCCUGACGGAGCAAUGCCGCGUGAAGGAUGAAGGCCUAUGGGUUGUAAACUUCUUUUCUCAGAAAAGAAUUAUGACGGUAUCUGAGGAAUAAGCAUCGGCUAACUCUGUGCCAGCAGCCACGGUAAGACAGAGGAUGCAAGCGUUAUCCGGAAUGAUUGGGCGUAAAGCGUCUGUAGGUUGUUUAAAAAGUAUUCUGUCAAAGAUUAGGGCUUAACCCUAGAUAGGCAGAAUAAACUUUUAAGCUAGAGUUUGGUAGAGGCAGAGGGAAUUCCCGGUGGAGCGGUGAAAUGCGUAGAUAUCGGGAGGAACACCAAAGGCGAAGGCACUCUGCUGGGCCAAUACUAACACUGAGAGACGAAAGCGAGGGGAGCAAAUGGGAUUAGAAACCCGUGGUAGUCC